AAAUUCUAACCUUUAUCCUCAUCUCUUGCCUCGACCCCCUGUUCCGCCGCCGCCCGACCUGAGCGCUGGCCGCAUCGCCGCCACAGAGAGGCCGUGCCGCCGCCGCUCGAGUCCACACGAAGCGUCGCAUCCGCUCGAUUCCAUACCUCCACGGCUCCACCGGCCGCUCUAGUCCACAGCCCACGCCGCCUCCUAUCGGCGCUCGAAUCCACUCGUCGACCGGCCGCAGGAGCUGCCGCCCGAUUCCACAGAAGGAAGACAGGGAGACGGCGGGAGCGCAGGACAUCGCCUCCGCCCGACCAUUACCUUUAACGCUGCUUCUCCACAAUCUGGCGGCGGGGGUCGCUGCUUCUCUACGUCGUCAGACUACGCCAGCUAAGAGCUCAUGCUGAUGAGAUCAAUAAUGGACGCAAUUUAAACCCUGAUGUUGUCGAGAGGAUUCAAAAUGAUAAGUUCCAUGAAUGGUUCCAAGCUCAUGUUCAGACUGCAUGCUACAUGGAGGCAUGGAGGGGGUGGUCGGCUGUGUGCUUUGUGUUGGUACAAAACAGCCUACUAUUUUUUGCUUGCUGGCUUUCGGCUGACUACUUGACCAACUUGCUUGAUGAUAUACUGCUGUGUGAGACCAUGUGUUGGCCAAAACUUAGUAUACUCUUAUAUUCAUGCUUGGUAAUUCGGUCAGCUGCGACACCACGUGCUUGUUUGGAACAUCAUUUUGUACUUUGGUCAACAACAGUUCAGAAUUGAGAUACACGCAUCUUGUUUGGAACUUUA